UACAGAGGGUGCAAGCGUUAAUCGGAAUUACUGGGCGUAAAGCGUGCGUAGACGGUUGCGUAAGUCAGAUGUGAAAAGCCCCCGGGCUCAACCUGGGAAUUGCAUUUGAGACUGGCACGCUCGAGUUCGGGAGAGGAUGGUGGAAUUCCCAGUGUAGAGGUGAAAUUCGUAGAUAUUGGGAAGAACACCGAUGGCGAAAGGCAGCCCAUCGUGGGACCGACACUGGACGCUAGG
rnacentral:rRNA from 1 species